UUUGGAGUUUGUUCAAUUUUACUUCUCAUAUAUUUAGUUGUCUAAUUUUAAUAUUUAUACUUAAAAAAUGAUCUUGAAUUUAGUUUUAUAACCAACAUUUAUCAAAGUUGAUUAAAUAAUAAUAAUAAUUUUCGUUCAAGUAACAGGAAAAGAGAAACAAAGUACGAUAUGUAAAUUGGGUCACUCUCUCUCUACACUCAAGUGAAAACUUAUUCCUAAGUUUCAUCUAACCCUUGUCCAUCGUUUAAGUCCCUAAAACAUAAAUAUGUUUGAUUAGAAACAUAUCCCUCUCCUCUCACAUCCUAAACUUACUCCCCUGAAUAUACAAUCUCUCAAAAUUUUCACUAAAACUAACUUUAAACUAUAGAAGCUACCAUAACUGCAGAAUAGCCAACACAACCUAACUAUUAACAACAAAAUACUUUAAUCUUCGCAUCCUACCCCCCCCCCCUUCCAACAACGCUACCUUACAAGCUAUUCUACUACCACCCCCUUCAAACCUUCACAAAUACAAACAAAUUCAAAACAAAAAAAAGGCUACCAUAAUCGUAGGAUAGUCAUCCCAAAUCAACAACGCAAAGUUAUUCAACACAAACAGGCUACCAUAAUUGCAGGACAGUCAUCCCAAAUCAACAACAAAGUUAUUCAACACAAACAGGAUACUAUACUGCAGGAUAACCAAAAUAAAUCUUAACACAUAUUACAGAAUUUUUAACACAAACAAAUUCCAUUGCCCCCCUCAAAUUUUCAAUUCAAACCUUCCACCCCUUUCGAAAUUUCUAUUCAACCUCCCCUUCAAAAUUUCAAUCAACCCCAAAUUCGUCCCCCUACUUCAAAAUUUAAAUUCAACCCCCCCCCCCCCCAACUUCAAAUUUUCAAUUCAUCCUCCACCCAUUUCAAAAUUUAAAUUUAACCAACCCUCUACUUCAAAUUUUUCAUUCAACCCCCUCUCAAAAUUUCAAUUCAACCACCCACUUCAAAUUUCAAUUCAAUACACAUUCAAAUUUUCCAUUUCACAAGCAAAAAUCUAUUCCUAAACAAAAUCCUAAAACAACUUUUUUAAAAAAACUAAAUAAACCUAAAAAUUAAGGAUUUUAAAACUUACCUCAAUGUGCAACAGUAGCAAACGACGGGAGAGGGACGACGGCGAGAGAACUGGAGGAAUUCGACGGGGAAUUCCCGACGCAGCAUGAAAACGUCAAGAGAUCUCCUUUCUCCCGACACCAUUUCCUACGGAUAACUAAUGGCGUCGAAAAUUUUACAUUACUCCUGACGCACCAAAGUAGCGUCGGUAGAGAACCUUACUCCCGACUCAUUUUUCGACGCCAUGCAGCAUGCGUCGGGAAUAUAUGUCUGACAAAAUUAAUGUUAUGUAAUUUUCGAAGAUUCGUUCCCGACACAUACAUGCCACAUCGGGAUAACAUGUUAUUCCCUACGUUGUUUUCGACGUCUAUGUCACAGCGUCGGAAAAAGUUGUCUAUCCCAACGUGUGAAAGCGUGCGUCGGAAUAUUGUUCAUUCCCAACGAAUUUGUUGCCGACGCCUUUCUUUGCAUUUGAAGAACACCGAUAUUAUGACAUUUUGGUUGGUAUAGUUAGUUGACAAUGUUAACCGACUAUAUUAAAGUUUAGGAUAGAAAGUGUUUUACAAAAUUUUUAAAAAAUAACAAAUAAAUUAUGUAACUAAGUUCCCCUAAGAGGAAAGUCAAACAGGGGACAAUCGUCUCCUUAGAUUUUUAAA